rnacentral:rRNA from 1 species
UACGGGGGGGGCAAGCGUUGUUCGGAAUUACUGGGCGUAAAGGGCUCGUAGGUGGCCAACUAAGUCAGACGUGAAAUCCCUCGGCUUAACCGGGGAACUGCGUCUGAUACUCGAUGGCUAGAGAUUGGGAGAGGGAUGCGGAAUUCCAGGUGUAGCGGUGAAAUGCGUAGAUAUCUGGAGGAACACCGGUGGCGAAGGCGGGUCUCUGGGCAAUUCCUGACGCUGAGGCGCGAAAGCGUGGGGAGCAAACGGG